GUUUUUUUGUAUCCUUGGAUUGCUCUCUGCCUCUUUUCAAGAGCUUUUGCUGUAAAAUAACCAGACUACAUCUAAAUUUAGCCAUGUGAUAUGGCACAAACAGGCUUUCAUGCCUGCUGUGUCAUCAAGGGGAUUUCAGGAUUUUCUAAUUGGUCUGCCUCGGUGCAUCUGAUGCAAUCGCCCAUCAUCAGUUUGUGCUCAGGAGUCUGGGUGGGAAGUGAAAGUACAGACAAGCCUGCCUAGGCCAUCUCUGCCUUGCAAGAGCUUGCCGCUAGCUGUGUGUGGCUCUGAGACCCAGAUUCAGGCCAAUUCAAAAUGAAAACCUUCAAAUGAGUGCUCCGAAAGUAAAACAAAAACUGAAUCUACUUGCUACAUCUUGAUGAGGCCCAUAAGGUAGCAAAGGUUUGGGGGUACAAGGUCAAGCUGAAGGGUUAAGGCCUGAAAGGGGUUUGCCCCUCGGAUAAACUAAACAUCCUUUGCCAGUGGCAUGCUGUGGAAAGGCGGCCCUGAGGAAAGGCUAGUGACCCAUGGGGGAUCCAAAUUUCCACGGCUGGAUGGCAUCUCUUCCAGGCCUUUCCCAUGGAGGCAAAGACUCCAGACUGAACUUGAAGAGUUCUAGGCAAUCCUCUCAGAGUUAGGACUUUGAAGAUCAAAUGAGAAUGAUAGGGAUUUGGAAAAACUAGUACUUGGUCAGUAUUUAUGCUUAUGGCUCUUUACCAGAAAGGAAAAAAAUAAUUGCUCUACUAUCCUCUAAGUUAUUUUUAUCACUUAAAUGAAAAAGAACUAGCUGAGGUUAUUUGGCAUAUCACAAUGUUUUUCUUAUUUUUUUUUCUGAUUAUCAAUUCAUGCUCGCUGAAAAAAAUAGUCAAAUGUUACAGAAAUGUGUAACAUAGAAAAUAAGAAGACUUCUCCUUCAGCACAACCUCCAAGAUCAUCCUGUAAGAGAAGUGGCAAGUACAGAAGAUGCAAAGCUAUGAACACAGAGCAGAGGCCCCCGUGUUGCUUUGAUCAAGUUCAAAAGAUGAGGGAAAUGAUGACUCAGGACCUUGGGAACCAGACUGAAGAAUCUCACAGACAUACUGAAGGGUUUUUGGGGGGACUGCUGUUUUUUGGUUUUUUUUUUUUAACUGAGGCAUCAUUUUGGUAAACAAUUCCUAUAGUCUGUGCACUUAUCAAAUUCCUUUACCCAAAUAUUUGCUAUUUAUAAAAUAAUCAAGGAAACAGACUUGUGUUUACUAUUCCAAAAUCAGCAGCAGUUUGAUGAAUUAAAAACAGUCUUACUUUUCCUUCUUUCCUCUCCCUUUACCAGCCUCCUGUCAAUGUGCCAAACUUACACACCCA
rnacentral:lncRNA from 1 species